rnacentral:rRNA from 1 species
GACGAACGCUGGCGGCGUGCUUAACACAUGCAAGUCGAACGGAAAGGCCCUGCUUUUGUGGGGUGCUCGAGUGGCGAACGGGUGAGUAACACGUGAGUAACCUGCCCUUGACUUUGGGAUAACUUCAGGAAACUGGGGCUAAUACCGGAUAGGAGCUCCUGCUGCAUGGUGGGGGUUGGAAAGUUUCGGCGGUUGGGGAUGGACUCGCGGCUUAUCAGCUUGUUGGUGGGGUAGUGGCUUACCAAGGCUUUGACGGUUAGCCGGCCUGAGAGGGUGACCGGCCACAUUGGGACUGAGAUACGGCCCAGACUCCUACGGGAGGCAGCAGUGGGGAAUAUUGCACAAUGGGCGGAAGCCUGAUGCAGCAACGCCGCGUGCGGGAUGACGGCCUUCGGGUUGUAAACCGCUUGCGCCUGUGACGAAGCGUGAGUGACGGUAAUGGGUAAAGAAGCACCGGCUAACUACGUG